AUGGCGCACUGUCAUUUUCCUGCUGGUGUGAUUUUAAAAUUCGGCAACCAGGGAAAGCGCCACACGAGCAGCCGCCACCGGCCGGCCAGGCCACGCCAGCAGGCAGCAGCGCGUCCCUCCUCUCCUCGCCUACAAACAGCGACGACCGAGCGAGCGGUUCGACCCACCUGCCUCGUCUUCCGUCUCCUGCUUCUCUUCCUCCUCUCUCCCGCCCCGCGUGGAACCGACCGACCCGCACACGCACAAGGAGCGGCCGGCAUGGGGAGAAGGGAGGCGCUCGUGGUUCUCCUCGCGGUCGUCCUCGCGGCGGCGGCGGCCGGGGAGGCGGACGCUGCCAAGGCCAAGGGGAAGGCCAAGGGGAAGUACCGGGCGCUGUUCAACUUCGGGGACUCGCUGGCCGACGCCGGCAACCUCAUCGCCAACGGCGUGCCGGACAUCCUCGCCACCGCCAGGCUGCCCUACGGCCAGACCUACUUCGGCAAGCCCACCGGCCGCUGCUCCGACGGCCGCCUCGUCAUCGACCACCUGGCGCAGGAAUUCGGGCUGCCCCUGCUGCCGCCGUCCAAAGCCAAUCGCUCCGACUUAAGUCACGGUGCCAACUUCGCCAUCACCGGCGCCACCGCGCUCGACACGCCCUACUUCGAGGCCAGGGGCCUCGGCGCCGUCGUCUGGAACUCCGGCGCCCUCAUGACCCAAAUCCAGUGGUUCCGUGACCUCAAGCCUUUCUUCUGCAACUCCACCAAGGAAGAAUGCAAGGAGUUCUAUGCCAACUCGCUGUUCGUCGUCGGCGAGUUCGGUGGCAACGACUACAACGCGCCCCUGUUUGCCGGGAAGGGCCUCACAGAGGCGUACAAGUUCAUGCCGGAUGUCAUCCAGGGCAUCUCCGAUGGCGUCGAGGAAUUGAUCGCCGAGGGGGCAGUGGAUCUCAUCGUGCCAGGGGUGAUGCCCACUGGGUGCUUCCCCGUGUACCUGAACAUGCUCGACAUGCCAGCCCACGAGUAUGGCGCCCGGAGCGGGUGCAUCCGUCAGUACAACACCUUCUCAUGGGUGCACAACGCACACCUCAAGAGAGCACUCGAGAAGCUCCGGCCCAAGUACCCCAAUGUGCGGAUCAUAUAUGGCGACUACUACACGCCAGUUGUCCAGUUCAUGCUCCAGCCUGAGAAGUUUGGAUUCUACAAGCAGUUACCUAGGGCAUGCUGCGGGGCUCCUGGGUCCGUUGCCAAAGCCGCUUACAACUUCAACGUGACGGCCAAAUGCGGGGAGCCUGGUGCCACUGCUUGUGCUGACCCAACGACCCACUGGAGCUGGGACGGUAUUCACUUGACGGAGGCUGCUUACGGUCAUAUCGCCAGGGGUUGGCUAUAUGGCCCUUUCGCAGACCAACCGAUUGUUCAGUCCUCGUGA
rnacentral:rRNA from 1 species